rnacentral:rRNA from 1 species
AGCGAACGCUGGCGGCAGGCUUAACACAUGCAAGUCGAACGGGCGUAGCAAUACGUCAGCGGCAGACGGGUGAGUAACGCGUGGGAACAUACCUUUUGGUUCGGAACAACACAGGGAAACUUGUGCUAAUACCGGAUAAGCCCUUACGGGGAAAGAUUUAUCGCCGAAAGAUUGGCCCGCGUCUGAUUAGCUAGUUAGUGAGGUAACGGCUCACCAAGGCGACGAUCAGUAGCUGGCUGAGAGGAUGAUCAGCCACAUUGGGACUGAGACACGGCCCAAACUCCUACGGGAGGCAGCAGUGGGGAAUAUUGGACAAUGGGCGAAAGCCUGAUCCAGCCAUGCCGCGUGAGUGAUGAAGGCCCUAGGGUUGUAAAGCUCUUUUGUGCGGGAAGAUAAUGACGGUACCGCAAGAAUAAGCCCCGGCUAACUUCGUGCC